CUCUUGGUCUCACUGACCGUCUUUUGGCCUCUGUGUACCAAUAGGACUGCACGUGUCCUUCCUCCCUUUCUGGGAUGAUCUCCCCAGAGUCCCUCCCGCCGACAGCCCGCCGCGGGAUGUGAGGGAACGGCACCCUCCAGCUAGGGCCCGGCUGCCCUACCAGCCUCUUCCCUCCUGGAGGAUGGAGUGGACAGUGGUGAGGCCAGGAGAGACAGACGUCGACCCAGGACGAUGCUGGAGCAGUCUCUGCCUCUUCCUAGCUGAGUGACCUUUGGCUGCUUAGCCACCCGGAGCCUCAACUUUUCAAUCUAUAAAAUGGGAAUGAUACUAAUGUCAUAAGAGAGUUGAAGGUUAGUAAUAUUAACUGCAGACACACACGUACGUCUUCUAUGUGCAUAUUCUUCAGUCCUGAAGCUGUCCAUGUGCUCACCACUCGGUGGGGUGAGACUCCAGGGGCCAUGGGGCUGCUUAGGGCACUGAGCUUGCUCUCCUGAUGUGGGUUUGGACAUAAUCCAGGAGUAGGGAAGAGGUGAGAGACUAGUGCUGGAGUCUCUUCACGGGGCCUCACCCUGGGUGGGUGGUAUAUGUGGCUUUCUGUCUUCUCUGAGCCCUGGCCAGGCCAAACUGGCCCCAGGUGGUAGGACCAAAGGGAUUGUGGGAAUUUAGUUCUGGGUCGGUGGAAUAACGCCAUGCCAUCACCGUUGUGAAGCCUGG
rnacentral:lncRNA from 1 species